rnacentral:tRNA from 1 species
GCGCGGGUGGUGAAACGGUAUACACGCUGGCUUGAGGUGCCAGUGCCGCAAGGCGUGGAGGUUCAACUCCUCUCCCGCGCACCA